rnacentral:rRNA from 1 species
CGAACGGGUGAGUAACACGUAAGGAACCUACCUUUAAGAUGAGAAUAACUUUGGGAAACCAAAGCUAAUACUCAAUAAGAUAAUCGAACGCAUGUUUGAUUAUUUAAAGGCGCUUAUGGCGUCGCUAAAAGAGGGCCUUGCGCAGCAUUAGCUAGUUGGUAGGGUAGAGGCCUACCAAGGCAACGAUGCUUAGCUGGAUUGAGAGGUUGAACAGCCACACUGGGACUGAGACACGGCCCAGACUCCUACGGGAGGCAGCAGUAGGGAAUUAUCAUCAAUGGGGGAAACCCUGAAUGUGCAAUGCCGCGUGAAUGAAGAAGAUCUUCGGAUCGUAAAGUUCUGUUGUUAAGGAAGAACCCUAUCACGAGGAAAUGCGUGAUAGCUGACGGUACUUAACCAGAAAGCUCCGGCUAACUACGUGCCAGCAGCCGCGGUAAUACGUAGGGAGCGAGCGUUAUCCGGAAUUAUUGGGCGUAAAGGGUGCGCAGGCGGCUUUGUAAGUCAAAUGUGAAAGUCCACGGCUUAACCGUGGAGGGUCAUUUGAAACUGCAAGGCUAGAGUACGGUAGAGGUAAGUGGAAUGCGAUGUGUAGCGGUAAAAUGCGUAGAUAUAUCGCGGAACACCAGUGGCAAAGGCGGCUUACUGGACCGGAACUGACGCUGAGGCACGAAAGCGUGGGUAGCGAACAGGAUUAGAUACCCUGGUAGUCCACGCCGUAAACGAUGAGAACUAAGUGUUGGGGUUACCCAGUGCUGAAGUUAACGCAUUAAGUUCUCCGCCUGGGGACUACGGCCGCAAGGCUGAAACUCAAAAGAAUUGACGGGUCUCUGCACAAGCGGUGGAGCAUGUUGUUUAAUUCGAAGAUACGCGAAGAACCUUACC